GACAGAGGUCUCGAGCGUUAGGCGGAAUCACUGGGCUUAAAGCGUGUGUAGGUGGAUGCCUAAGUACCUUGUGAAAUCCCACGGCUUAACCGUGGAAUUGCUUGGUAUACUGGGUGUCUUGAGCCACUUAGGGGCAACCGGAACAAAUGGUGGAGCGGUGAAAUGCGUAGAUAUCAAGUGGAACACCAGUGGCGAAGGCGAGUUCCUGGACACUUCCUGACACUGAGGCACGAAAGCUAGGGGAGCAAACAGG
rnacentral:rRNA from 1 species